CCUACGGAUGGCUGCAGUGGGGAAUAUUGCUCAAUGGGGGAAACCCUGAUGCAGCCACGCCGCGUGAGUGAAGAAGUACUUCGUUAUGUUAAGCUUCAUCAGCAGGGAAGAAAAUGACGGUACCUGUGCAAGAAUCCCUGGAUAACUACGGGCCAGCAGCCGUGGUUAGACGUAGGGGGCCAGCGUUAGCCGGAUGUACUGGGUGUAAAGGGAGCGUAGUCGGUGCGUCAAGUCUGGAGUGAAAUGCCGCAGCUUAACUGCGGAACUGCGGUGGAAACUGGCGAACUAGAGUGCGGGAGGGGUAAGCGGAAUUCGUGGUGUAGCGGUGAAAUGCGUAGAUAUUAGGAGGAACACCGGUGGCGAAGGCGGCUUACUGGACCGUAACUGACGUUGAGGCUCGAAAGCGUGGGGAGCAAACAGGAUUAGAUACCCCUGUAGUC
rnacentral:rRNA from 1 species